UAAAAGACAAGCUUCAUUAAUAUAAUAAAAUUUUUACCUUCAGCAUCAAUAGAACAUUAUGACAUGUUGACAACUAGAAUUGUCACAACUUAAGUGCAAUAUAUUUGGAUUGAUUGCAAGCACUAAACAUGAUAAGUAAAUCAAACCCGAAUGCUCCAAAGCGGCGAAUAAAAUUGACAAAAAAUUGAGCAUCCACUAGACUGUAAAGAACAACAAGAAAACUAUCUCUAAAAUUAUUUGUAAAAGCAAGAUUACAUGCAUUUAUAAAUUGAAUAAUAAUAAACGAAUGAAUGAAAUUUAUUAAAUUAUUUAAGAAUGAAAACACUUUAACUUUUAAAAAUAAAAAAUUUAUAUUAAUUUUUAAUAUAUAAUUUUUAAUGAAAAUUUUAUAAAUUAAAUUAACCGUGUUUGCUUUCUAAUUAUUAUCAUUUCUCACUCAAAUUUUUAAGUUUUAAUUGAUAGUGUGUGUAGACAGCCCAUUUCGCCCGGGGCCCAGAACACUACCAAAACCAAAACAAAAGCAGACCAAAUAAAAAAAAAACAAAGUCCAAAUUACAUACCCAACACAAAAACGAAAAUAAAACCCAAUUUAAUCAACCAAAACCAACCCAAAGCCUUAAACCCAAUUACAAUAGGCCCAAAUCUGAAACCCAAUCCAAACACCUAACACUAGCCCAAAAUUCCAACCCAAAACUUUAACAUUUUUGAAAAACCCUAGUAUACCUAAAGGUCUCAGCCGCCGCACGCCUCCCUCGCGCACCAAACACCACUUCCGUGUCGUACGCUCCUCCACUAAGCCACGUCAGAAACGUGCUCAGUCACGAACCUGCAAACAAGUGCAAAAUGAACAGUAAAGAAGUUUUUUUGUUUUUCCAUUCGGCUAUAAAACCGAAUCAAACCGAAUGUAAAGGGAUCUUUUUUUUUUGAUAGAUACGAAUACAACAGAAAAACACAAAGAAAAUCAAUAGCAAUCAGAAAUCUGAUUCAAAGCUUAAAAGGUUGUUUUCCACUUUUUCCUUCGUUUUCACAGUUAUUCCCUUAUUACUUCUUUUCGUUCUUUUCUUUACAAACGAUUUUAAAUAACACAAGAGAGAGAGAGGGGAGACUUACUGGGGUCGAGCUCGUUUUGUCGGUGGCCUGGGCGCACUAGAUCUCCGAUGAAGGAGGCGCCGGCCAAAUAGUGGAGGAAAGGAGAAAAGUUUAGGGUUUUUGUUUUUUAAAUUAAAGGUCUCAAAAAGAAAAAGGAAAGGCUUUAGAUUUUCUAAAGUUUUUUUUUUUAUGUUUCAAAAAAUAUAAAAUAAAGGUUUUUAUUAAACUUUAAAACAGCAGUAUUGUGGGGGAGGGGGGGGGGUUUAAGGGGUUAUUUCGCAGUUAGUCCCCCUUUUCUGUGUUUCUGUUCGAUUGGGCCAAUGUUUUCUCUUUUAUUUUCUUUAAAUUUUUCCUAGGAACUUUAUAUCAGUUUUGUUUUAAUCCUCGCCUAAACACAGUGUUUUGAGGUUUUGGGACAUUUUUUUAUUUUAAAUCCCCGAAUAUUUGGGCGCAUUUUGUUGGUCCCCGAUCCUGUUCUAAUAAUUUGCUUUGUUUAUGAAUUAUCCUUUUAAUUUUACUUUUAUUUCAAUUACUUUUUUUUUGGUUAUUCAUUUUUUUUAAAAAAACAAUACUAUUUUAACAUAUUAUUUUGAAUUAUUUUAUUUCACACUGUUUUUUUAUUUUCAUUUGAAUAUUUUUAUAUUUUAUCUUAUAACACACUUUUUUUGAAUUUUUUUGUUAUAAAUAUUCUUUGUUUUAAUAUUGCGCUAUUAUUUUUAUUAAAUUACUUGUAUUAUAUAUAUUAUCUGUUUUAGAUUGAUAUACAUAUAUAUAUAUUGUUUUGUAUAAUUCAUUUUAACUUACUUCUCACGUGACAUUUAUUCUAAAAUUAGUUUAUAUAUUAUUAUUUUACAUAUUAAUAUUUUUUUUCAUUUCAUGUGAAUUAUUUAUUUAUAUGCAUAUUAUUUACCUAGAGGGAUUUAUAUUUUGUAUAUUAUGUAUUUUGUUUUUUAGUACUUUUUUCAAGACUCCUUCAUAUAUUAAUCGUUUUUAUUCUUACACGAAAUUUGUUGUUAGUAUAUCGAUGAUUUCACAUUUUUCAUUUCUCACAUUAUUAAUUCUUCUUUAUUUUAAAACUUGCUACAUUUCAUUUGUGUUGAUUUGCUUGGUACUUUUCUAAAAAUUGCCUUGUAAUUCAUUGGCUUUUGUGUGUUAAUUUUAGUCUUUGCAUAAGGUAUGUAGCCAUUGCAUAUACCUUCUUGUCAUAUGAUUAUGAUUUAUUUGUCUAGAACUUUUGCCAUGUAAUAUUAUGCAUGUUCGUGAUUAUGUUUUUAUCUCCUGCUAUCAUUGAGAUUUAAACUCCAAUCUAUGUAGUCAACAUUAGUGGUUUCAUUUCUUCUCCAAACAAACCUAAAUAAGUAUAUUUUGACUCGGCUUAUACCAUCGUUAAUUCGAACCCUCCCAACUUAAGGAAUUAUUUCGUGUUUGAAGGUCUGAGAAAUCGUGCCCAAUCGUGCUGGGUUUCGAUUUUUCGUUCAGCUAAAAUACGGAAUAUCCUUUGAAAAUUUCGUCCCCGUUUUUAAAAAGAAUUAAAAUGAGGCAAUAUUUCGUAUUUGGGGAGUUUGAGAGAUCAUGCCCAAUCGUGCUGGGUUUCGUUUUUUCAUUCGACUAAAAUAUGGAAUAUCCUUUUUUGAAAUUUCAUCUACGCUUUCUUAAACUAAAACGAGGCAAUAUUUCAUGUUUAAAAGUUUGGGAGAUCGUGCCCAAUCGUGAUGGGUUUUGAUUUUUCAUUCGACUAAGAUACGGAAUAUCCUUUCGACAUUUCAUCCAUAUUUCGUAUUUAGAAAUUCGAUAAAUCGUGCCCAAUCGUGUUAGGUUGUGAUUUACCGCUUGGUCAAAUAAUCAAAUAUCUUUUUGAAAUUUCAAAUGCAUGAGUUUUGGAAGUUAUAAAAUGAUCUUGUAUUGAGGAUUUGAAAUAUUGUGUCCAAUCGUGCUGGACAUGAUAUUUUAUUCCUUUUGAACGAGAGAAUCUCAGUAUCCAAUUCAAGUUAUCUAAAUGUUUUAAAGUAAUUGAAUUUCAAAUUUUCAGCAUUAGGUCAAUAAUUGAUCAAUACCGUACCAAUUUUGGGCGUUGCGAAGGUGCUAUCCUUCCUCGCGCGUAGCUGACCUUCGAAUCUGUCUUCUAGUUUUUUUCGUAGACCAAAAAAUGUUGUUUUAAUAAACCAAAAAUGCUUUAUUAAAAUGAUCGACCAUAGGGUGACCCGAUCACACCUAAACAAAAAAGAUUGAUGGCGACUCCAUUUCUGUUUUAAAGUCGACCUUUGUUUUUCAAAAUAAAAAUGGUUUCGACAGCUUGGAAACUCCGCUGGGAUCAUAAGAGAGUCAAGCCGUAAAAUUGAUCAUUUUCUAUCUUUUUGUCGAAAAUUUAAAAUUUGGUUUUUAACAUACGAUUCUUUCAUCGCAUUUCAUGGGUUUUAUGGUUCAUCAUUUUAUUCAUGUUUCGUACUUUGAUUUUUAUAUCCCCUUGCAUCAUCUUGCAUGACCAUUGUGGCCGCAGCCUUAAGUGGGAGUGAGAAACUAUUUUCUUCGUGAGUUUUUCACCUCCGUGUAGGAUAGUGGAUCGCUUUCGGGAUACAUUCGUACCUAUGUCUUCGUGAGGUUUUCACCUCCGUGUAGCCAUAGGAAAAUGUAUUCCCCUAAACUGAACUCGGUCCAUAUGAGCCUAUAAUGGGUGAUGAUCUAGGAAUCUGUUGGUUCAGGUACCAUUUUCUUUAGUACCAAACCGUAUAUAAUGAGCCUUAAGAGCCCAACCCUAGGCAGAAUUACUCCAAACCCUAGCAAUCACCCAAAUUGGUGCUUGGUUAUUUUUUUAUUUACUUUGACUAUUAUAUUUGGUAUAUUAUAUUGACUUGUUAUGUUUUAUUGUGGCCAUAAUUGCAUGUCAUUUCAUUCAAAAGAGGUGUCGAUUCACGUUUGAUUACUCAUUUAGGGAGCUUUUCAUAGAGGAUGAAUUUCUUGAUAAAAUAGAAGAUAAUGCGACUGUCCGUAUAUGGUCAGAGAAAACGGAAUUAGAGAAAGGGGAUAGUCUUACCGAGGGGUAUACAUCAGAAUUGUGUGAUUACACCCGCAUUAGUGUGACGCAAAAUGAUCUUUAAGAAUUAAAAGAGAUAUGGGACCAGUGGUAUGAAGAGACCAAGCGGUUGUUCUAUGGUAGUUAUGGAGAUUUGCCUUACUUAUUUGACAUCAAGGUAGACGAACACUUAUGCCGGGCUCUCGCUCAGUAUUGGAAUCCUGCCUACAGUUGUUUUACCUUUGGGAAGGUAGAUUUGGUACCUACCGUAGAAGAAUAUACAGCUUUACUUCAUUGUCCGAAGGUUCAGGUCGAUAGAGCUUAUUCCAAGGCUGCUAAUGCCCCACCUUUUGUAAAAAAAUUGAUGAAUGUUUCGGGGAUGAGUGAGUAGUGGAUUGCAGCAAUGGUCAAGCAAAAAGGGGAAAAUAAUUACAUCCCAUGGAGGAGUUUGAGAGAUCUGAUUCUAGUGCAUCCUGAUGCGAAAAAGAGAGUUGACGUAUUUGCCUUGAGCAUCUAUGGUUUAAUAAUUUUCCCUAGGGCAUUAGGGUAUGUAGACGAGAUGGUCUUGGAUCUCUUUGACCGACUUGACAAAGAAGUUACACCUGUUCCGGCAAUCUUGGCUGAGAUAUUUAGAUUUUUGAAUGCAUGUAGGAGAGCUGGAGAAGGCAGAUUUAUAGGGUGUGCGCAAUUAUUGUUGGCUUGGUUCCAUGGCCAUUUCUAGAAGGUGGAUAAAAUUUCUUAUCGGGUUUUCUCCGAGAAUUACUCCCUGUUAAGAGAGAUAGCGGUUACACCUAGAAGAGAUGACAUAUUAGAAGAAAAUUGGAUCACACUCCUUCGAAGUCUCUAAGAGGAGGAUGUUGAGUGGAGAGCUCUUUGGUUUGUUCUGGAUGAGAUCUUCUAUCGGUGUGGGAGUUUUAAUUGGGUACCUCUACCUGAAAUUUGGGGAGCCGUGGGAUAUGUUCAUUUGCUCGUACUAAGGCAAUAUAGAUCGAGACAGUUCAUAACGGUAAUACAUGGGCUAGCUUAAUCUGAAUUCACGUAUAGGGGAGUUAACUACAAGGAAAAGAUUAAGGAGAUUUCUAGUGCUUGGAGCCAGAUUCGUCGAGUGAAAAGAGUUACUGUAGGACCAAUGGCAACCCCCGAAUAUGACAGUUGGUGAGGUAGAAGAGUUAAUGAUAAUAUCCCCAGACCAAAGCAAGAAGGCACUCGACCGAUGCAAAAAUACUUGCAAGUAGUUCUCUCCGAGUUAGAAACAAUAAAACAGGACUUUGAAAAGAGAAAUUUGGAGUUAGGGAAAAAGAUAGAAUAAUUGGAGGAGGAAAAGAUGCAUUUGAGGUUAGAUGUCGAUGUUUAGAAACUCGAGGCCGAGAAGUUAAGAAAGGGAAAAAAGAAGGCCGAAGAAGACUUGGACAGUUUGAAGACUGAUUACAAGAAACUACAUAUGUCAAUGAGAACAGUCGGAUUGGGAAAUACAUCGGAGCAAUGGUGACAAGAAAUUCAAGCGGAAAAGGCCAGAGCUGAUCAAUGGAAGAAGAGGUUCCAUGAUGCUCGAGUACGUGAAAGCGCCUUGAAGAAGAGUUUAGCUGAGGGCCAAGAUGAGAUGCGGAUGUUAGCGGCUCGGGUAGCAGAGUUAGAAAAGACACCACAUCAGAGUCGUGGUCAUAACUCGGACAUUGAACUAAGGGCAAGCCUGAGCAAGAUCGAGGAUUUGAAAGGAAAGGUAGAAGAACUUGAGACUGCGCUACGGAAUUGUGAACUUCAAAUUGAAUUCCUUAAGUCGAAUAAUGAGCAGGGGAAGGAGCUGCUCCGUCGAUCAUAGGACCAGGUCAGGGAUAGAGAUCAUAUCAUGGGCAAAGCUGUGGCUCAGAUUCGAGAAGUGGCUGAUCAUUUACAGACCUUGGCAGUUCAAGCUGAUGUGUUAAGUGUGAAGUACGAGUUAGAGUCAGAUCGGGAUCGUGAGCUGGCUUGCCUUCUUAAGAGAGUUAAAACUCUGAGCAUUAGAACAAAGCUGUAUAUAUGAUCUAUUUUAUGUAAAGAUUUUUUUUUCUAAUAAAAUUUUCUAAUUGAAAUUAAAUCAGAAUCGACAUCUCUUUCAUCUUGCAUACAUCUCAUUCAUUUGCAUUACAUCACAUCAUGUGCACUAAACUUCACAAAGGAACCCUAAUUAAAAGUAAUUAUAUUAUAGUUACCCUGGAACAUCAAUACUACACAUGGAAAAAUACCAAAAUUAUGAAUCAAAAGCUAGAAAGACUGGAACAAAUGCAGAAAGAAAUACAGGAGCAGCUACAGGCACAGAUGCAAGAGCAACUGGCCAAGAUUUAGCAGGAUAUGAAAGAUCAGAUGCAAGAAUCGCAGAAGGACAUGAUGGAUCAGCUAACUCAGUUGUUGCUCGGAGGGCCAGGAAAAGGGAAGAGCCAUGUGGUCAACCCAGAGGGUGAUAGCGAGAUCCUUGUUUACCUUCCAGGUUUCACCCUAGUGAAUACCCCAGUACCACCACAAAGGGUGUCUGUCAAUAUCAAACCUCAGUAUUAGGCUGGUAUUUCGGCACCGAUGAAUUUACCGACAGGCUCGUAUUCUAAACCUUAGGACGAUUGGGUAAAUCCUUCGGUCCCCGACUUUGAUGAGAUGACAGAGGUGAAGAAGGCAAAAGGAGAACUCCCAAGGCAGCUGGAAGUCCGAUACAAAUGGCUAGAGGAGAAAUUCAAGGUGCUGGAAAGCACAGAUUAUCAAUGUGGUAUGGAUUCUAAAGAGUUGAGUUUGGUUCCAGAUCUAGUGCUCCCUCCGAAGUUCAAAAUGUCGGAGUUUGAGAAAUAUAACGGAACCAACUGCCCUAAGGCCCACAUUACGAUGUUUUGUCAGAUGAUGAUUGAUCAUGUCAAUAAUAAUCAGUUGCUAGUUCACUGUUUCCAGGAUAGUCUGAGUGGGGCUGCAGCCAAAUGGUACUAUCAACUGAGUCGCACCCAAAUUAAAUCGUGGAGGGACUUAGCACAGGCCUUCAUGAAGCAGUAUUUCCAUGUGACGGACAUAGCGCUUGAUCGGAUCACGUUACAGAACAUGGAGAAAAAGUCAAAUGAGAGUUUCAGGCAGUAUGCUCAGAGGUGGAGGGAAGUCGCUACGCAAGUUCAACCUCCACUGUUAGAAAAAGAAACAACCAUGUUUUUCAUUAAUACUUUGAAGGCACCUUUUAUUAACCACAUGCUGGGAGGCGCGAUAAAUAGUUUCACGGACAUAGUGAUGUCCGAUGAAAUGAUAGAGAAUGCAAUAAGGUGCGAAAAGAUAGAGGCGGGGGAGAGCGCUAGGAGGUCAGCCCCAAAGAAGAGUGAAAAUGAGGUCGGCAAUGUGAGCAUGGGUCAUGUAAAACCAAUCACAAUUAAUCAACCAAAAAUAAUGGUCACGGGCCAGUAAGCUUUGACAAGGUAAGAGCCCAAUACAAAGUAGAAUAUGGAGAAGCCCCAGUUUACACCCAUUCUGAUAACGUAUCGGGAGUUUUACAAAAAUUUAUUCGAUGCACACGUUGUAUCCCCGUUCUACUUAAAACUAUUACGACCCCCAUCCCCCAAGUGGUACGAUGCAAGUGCCUAAUAUGAAUAUCAUGCGGCAUCACGGGGCACUCGAUAGAGAACUGCACCUCUUACAAAAGAGUAGUCGAAAGGCUCAUCAACAUGGGUGUUGUGAAGUUCGAUGAUGCACUUGGUGUAGGAAACCCGUUACCUAAUCAUACUGUUACUGGAUGAUUAUUUCACGAUCGAAAGUCGAUGAAGCUGAAGCCAGAACGACGCUAAGAGUGGUGAUUCAGAAACCCGUGGCUUUUCCUUACAAGGAUAACAAAAGGAUGCCUUGGAAUUAUAACUAUAAUGUGACGUCAUUAGGAGAGGGGAGGCUGGUCAGCAAGCCAAAUACAAAAGCCGAGCUUGUAAAAGAGAAAUAUUUGAUGUUUGAACAGAGGAAAGAGAGGACAAAACCACUGGUUAAUGAAUCAGUAACCACGAAUGAAGCAAAAAAAUUUUUGAAGUUCCUAAAACACAGUGAAUAUAGUGUUAUGGAACAGUUGCACAAGCAGCCAGCACGUACCUCGGUACUAGCUUUGCUCCAAAAUUUGAAGGUACACCGUAAUGCGUUGAUGAAGGUGUUGAAUGAAACUUAUGUUGCUGAAGACAUUUUGGUGAACAAGCUAAACCGUCUUGUCAGCAAUAUAAGUGCCGAUAACUUCAUUUCUUUCAGCGAUGAUGAGAUACCGCCAGGUGGCAUGAGGUCCACCAAAGCUCUGCACAUCACCACUCGGUGCAAAGGGUAUUGAUUGACAAUGGGUCAGCACUAAAUGUCUUGCCGCUGCCUACAUUGAAUAGGUUACCUAUAGAUAGCUCUCAUAUGAAGAUAUGCUAGAACAUAGUGAGAGCAUUUGAUGGCACCGAGAGAAAAGUAAUGGGUAGAAUUAAGAUUUCCCUUCCGAUCGGAUCCAACACGUACGAGGUAGACUUUCUCAUAAUGGACAUUAGAACCUCUUAUAAUUGUUUACUAGGGAGGCCUUAGAUUCCCUCAGCGGGAGUGGUACCAUCAUCAUUGCACCAGAAGCUGAAGUUGGUAACGGAGGGUCGGCUGAUAACCAUAAAUACAGAGGAGGACAUUAUCGCCUCUGUUACUAGUGACGCGCCGUACAUCGAGAAUGAUGAUAAAGCAAUUGAGUGUUCCUUUCAAUCAUUGCAAUUUGUCAAAGCGACUUUCAUUAUCAAAUGAGGCAAAUCCCAAUGCUGAAAAUAUUCAAAGCUACGAGGAUGAGCUUACGACUGAUGGUAGGAAAAUGGGCAUUGCCUGGAAGGGGACUUGAAAAAUACCUCCACGGAUAGAUUGAAGUGCCGAGUUUAGCUGGCAAGCAGGAUCGUUUCAAUUUGGGAUAUAGGCCAGACGCUAGAUAAAGAAAGAAAGAGUUAGAGAGAAAACAUGAUAGACGAAGGGCACGAUUGAGUGGGACAGAGGUCAGGUGGGAGUCAAUGACCUUUCUCCACAUAUCCAAUACAUUCGUGUUAGGAGGAAUUAUUCAUCUGGAAUAAGAGAUGACAAGAGAAAAGACAGCUAAAGAUUUGAUGGGCAAUUUGAGCAUCAAUGCCUUAUUCGAGGAAGGAAUGAUGGAAGAAGAUUUAUCAGGCAUUCGCCCUUAUGAGCCUAGCAGUGUUCUAAACAAUUGGACUGUGGAAGAAAUUCCUGUAGUUCUUAGAGCUAAGCAGAGUAAUGUUCAGAAUAAACUUAUUGUUUUAAGCCUGUUUUAAGCCUAGAAACAAUAAGAAUCGUUUGUCAAAUAGGUUCAUGUUCAAACAUCUUUAUUUUUAAUAAGAAAUGCAUUUUUAAGUCUCAUUCUAGAUAAAUAUUUUUUUUUUCUUUUUCCUCUCACAUUCUCAUUACAUUCAUAAUCAUGCCGUACAAAUAAGCCACUCUUAGAUUCAUUCUUUGGAUAUUUCUUUCAUGUUUCAAUAAGUUUCCGGAUAUCAACGACACAAACGUCACUGUUACAGACCCAGAACUUCCUGUUGAGCGAGAUAUGUGUCUAGAGGGAUCUCAGGAUUUCGAAGUUGACGAAGAUUAUGGGUUAUCUCUGGAUUUGUUAAGGAUAGUAGAACGAGAAGAGAAAAAAAUUCUACCUUAUAAAGAGACAACCGAGAAUGUGGCUUUAGAGGAAGGGAAAGAAGUAAAAAUUGAAACUUGCAUAACUGAGGAAACAAAGGGAGACCUCGUUAAACUACUGCAAGAGUUCAAAGAUGUCUUCGCAUGGUCGUAUCAAGACAUGCCUGGGUUAAGCGUUGAUAUUGCGGUACAUCAAGUCCCCAAAAAAGAAGAGUGCAAGGCUGUUCAACAGAAGCUGCGAAAGAUGAGACCCGAUGUUACAGUAAAAAUAAGGGAAGAGGUAAGGAAACAAUUUGAUGCUGGGUUCUUACAAGUGGUGAAUUACUCGGAAUGGGUAGCCAAUGUGGUCCCCGUCCCUAAGAAAGAUGGAAAAGUGCGGAUGUGUGUGGAUUACAGAGACCUAAACAAGGCUAGCCCAAAGGACAACUUCCUACUACCCCAUAUAGACACUCUAGCGGAUAAUACGGUGGGUUACUCAUUGUUCUCUUUCAUGGACAGUUUCUCGGGAUACAAUCAGAUAAAGAUGCUUACAGACAUGGAAAAGAUCAUGUUCAUAACCUUGUGGGGAACAUUUUGCUAUAAGGUGAUCACCAUUUAGGUUAAAAAAUGCGGGAGCAACGUAUCAAAGAGCCAUGGUAACCUUGUUUCACGACAGGAUGCACAAGGAGAUUGAGGUUUACAUCGACGAUAUGAUUACAAAAUCCCAAACUGAAAAAUAGCACAUACAUGUUUUGAGGAAAUUUUUCUUGAGGCUGAGAAAGUUCCAGCUAAAACUCAAUCCAACAAAAUGUACUUUCGGAGCUAGAUCAGGAAAGCUGUUCAGUUUUGUCGUCAGAGAAAAAGGAAUCGAGGUCGAACCCGACAAAUUCAAGGCCAUACAACAAUUACCUCCGCCAUGCACUCAGAAAGAAGUUCGAGGUUUUCUGGGAAGACUAAACUACAUCGCCCGAUUUAUUUCGCAACUAACCGGGAAAUGCGACCCCAUAUUUUGUCUUUUCAAGAAACACAACCCAGACGUGUGGAAUGAAAAGUGCCAGAAGACCUUUGACAGGGUUAAAUAAUAUCUGUUCAAUCCUCCAGUGUUAAUACCACCCAACCCGAGUAGACCAUUGAUAUUGUAUUUGAUAGUAUUUGACUGCUCAAUAGGAUGUGUGUUUGGGCAACACGAUGAGACAGGAAAGAAAGAAAAGACAAUAUACUACCUCAGUAAGAAAUUCACUGAGUGUGAGAUGGGAUAUUCGCCAAUCGAGAAGCUACGUUGCGCUUUGGUCUGGACAACCCGGAGAUUAAGGCAUUACAUGUUGUACCAUUCGAUUUGGUUAAUCUCGAAAUUGGAUCCUCUUAAGUACAUGAUAGAGUUAGCCGCUUUGAAUGGAAGGAUGACCCGAUGGUAAAUCCUGCUCUCUAAAUUCGACAUAGUUUAUAUGAAUUAGAAGGCUGUAAAAGGAAGUGCAGUAGUAGAUUUUCUAGCCAGUAGAGCUUUAGAGGAUUACGAGUCUUUAAACUUCAAUUUUUCCAAUGAAGAUCUAAUGUAUGUGGCAGCCGCCCAAGAAGAUACUCUAGAAGAUCAUCCUUAGAAAUUGAAUUUCGACGAAGCGUCAAACGCCAUUGGUAAUGGAAUUGGGGCAGUCUUGAUAUCCUCAAAGGGAGAUCACUAUCCAUUCACUUGCAAAUUGGAUUUUGAUUGUACAAAUAGUAUAGUAGAGUACGAGGCAUGUAUCAUGGGCAUCCAUGCUGCCGCAGAGCGCCAAAUCAAGGUGUUAGAGGUAUAUGGGGAUUCCACACUAGUAAUCUAUCAGCUCAACAGUGAAUGGGAAACAAGAGACUUAAAAUUGAUCAAUUACCGAGAGCUGGUUAUGGAUUUAAUCAAGGUGUUUGACGAUAUCACUUUUCAUUACCUUCCAUGCGAUGAAAAUCAGAUAGCUGAUGCCUUGGCUACGUUAGCUUCCAUGAUCAAAGCAAAUAACCAAGAGGAUAUAAAGCCGAUCCAGAUGAGUAUUUGUGAUAUUCCAGCACAUUGCUGCAAUAUCGACGAAGAGGAGGAGAGGGAUAAUCAUCUUUGGUAUCAGGAUGUUCUACGAUAUGUAAAAAAUCGUGUAUAUUCUGAUCAGAUAACUGAAAAUGAUAAAAGAACAUUGAGGAGGCUGGCCGGUGACUAUGUCUUAGACGGAGAAAUCCUGUAUAAAAGAAGGAAAGAAAAAGUACUGCUAAGAUGUGUUAACGCUGUUAAAGCAAAGAAAAUCCUAGAAGAAAUCCAUGAAGGUGUCUGCGAGACGCAUGCCAAUGGGUUCACAAUGGCCAGGCAAAUCAUGAGAUUCGGGUAUUACUAGUCUACAAUGGAGGGAGAUCGCAUAAACUAUGCCAAGAAAUGCCAUAAGUGCCAAAUUUAUGGUGACAAGAUUCAUGUGUCUCCUUCACCUCUUCAUGUUAUGACCUCCCCAUGGCCUUUCUCAAUGUGGGGCAUGGACGUUAUUGGGUCGAUUUCGCCGAAGGCUUCUAACGGAUAUCGUUUCAUCUUUGUGGUCAUUGAUUAUUUCACCAAGUGGGUCGAGGCUGCUACAUACGCCAACGUCACAAAGUCGGCAGUCAGUAAAUUCUUGAAAAAGGAAAUUAUAUGUCGAUAUGGCAUGCUAGAGAGGAUCAUAUCUGAAAAUACGUUAAAUUUAAAUAACAACAUGAUAGUGGAAGUCUACAGUCAAUUCAAAAUUAAACACCACAACUCAUCAUUGUAUCGCCCAAAAAUGAAUGGGGCAGUUGAGGCGGCUAAUAAAAAUAUAAAGAAGAUCGUGAGGAAAAUGGUUGAGACCUAUAAAGAUUGGCAUGAAAAGCUACCAUUUGCUCUCUAUGCCUAUCGAACGUCGGUCAGAACUUCUACCGGGGCGAAACCUUUCUCGUUGGUUUAUGGGAUGGAGACAGUUUUGCCUAUUGAAGUCAAGAUUCCUUCUCUCCGGGUUUUAUUGGAAUUGAAGCUAGAUGAAGCAGAAUGGGUCCAAUCCCGGUAUGAUCAACUGAACUUGAUUGAAGAAAAGAGGCUGAAGGCUAUCCGUAAUGGUCAAAUGUACCAGAAACGAAUGAUGUAAGCUUACAACAAGAAAGUUCGCCCAAGAGUAUUCCAGGAAAGGGAUUUGGUAUUGAAAAAGAUUCUCCCUAUGCAAAAGGAUCUCAGGGGGAAAUGGAUGUCAAACUGGAAAUGACCUUAUGUAGUGAAGAAGGUUUUUUCUAGAGGGCCACUGAUAUUAGCAGAAAUGGAUAGUAAAAGCCUUCCCAACCCGGUAAAUUCAAAUUCGAUCAAGAAGUACUUCACCUAAAAAAGGAAAGGCCAAUGCGAAAACUCGAAAAGGGCGCUUUAAAAAAAAUGGAGAGGCCAAGGCGAAAACCCACAAAGGGCGCUUUGAGUUGAAAACCCAGAAAAGGGAAACUCAAAUUGUGAUCAAGGAUGGGGCAUGUUGCGGCCUUGUUUCUACCGGAAUUAACAAGAAGGGGGAACAUUACAUCUUGGGGCAUCGACGAAAUACUUCAGACCUCCUAAACGCACAUCUGGCUCCCAAUGGUUUUCGAGCCGUCCGAAUAGUGAAGCUCACACUGCCAUAUCUGGGGCACCUAUUUUCCAUCUUAUACAUUUUUUUGUACCUUAACAAAAUUUAUUAUCAUGAUAAACUUUUUACCUCGAGCUUCGCUCUCAAUAAAGUUUCACCUUGUCCAUCUUGGCAAUAUUUUUCAAGCAUUUCCUAUUAUUAAUAGACUAAUAACACUUUCAUAAAAGGUGUCCUGUAUAUUACUCUAGAAGUUUCUAAGUAGUGCAAGAACCCGAAACAGGUCAAUUAUUCAGAACUUACCAACCUUAAGGGUUAGAGUUACUUGAGAAGUAAAAAGUUUUGGUUAAGACUAUUGUUUUAGAUAGUUGUUAAAGAAAUCAGUUGAACAAGAAGAAAUACGUCAAUGACAAGCGGUGAGCAAUAAUAGCCUAAACGUAAAAAAAGGCAUUUUCAUGACAUUCUGCAUUUAUACAAAUGGCAUCCAUAAUAUAUCUAGUUAGGAGCAUUUGAUUCAUUUUGAUCAUAGCAUCCUAGUCUUUUGGCAUAACUAUAGGCAUAUAAAACCAAGUCUAUAAGACAUGUUCCUCAGAGGAUGGUGUAGCGACAUCGGUGGAAGAUAUAGAUUUCCUCUAAACAGUAGGAGAACAGAUCGAAGGUAGCGAGCCUUAACCCCCUAAGCAGUAGGGUAACAGGCUACAAAUUAAAGCUUUUAUCUCCAUGUAUCGGCUAUGGAGCAGAUCGAAAAUGGCGAGUCUUAUCUCCAUGUAUCGGCUGUGGAGCAGAUUUUAGCCAUCGACCUUAUCUUUCUGAGGUAACAAGAGAGCAGGUUAAAGAUAUGAGCCUUAACCCCCUAAGCAGUAAGGUAACAUGCUAAAAAUUACAGAUCUUAUCUCCAUGUAUCGGCUAUGGAGCAGAUUUUAGCCAUCGACCUUAUCUCUCUGAGGUAGCAAGAGAGCAGAUUGAAGAUACGAGCCUUAACCUCUUAAGCAGUAGGGUAACAUGCUACAAAUUACAAAUCUUAUCUCCAUGUAUCGGCUAUAGAGCAUAUCGAAAAUGGCAAGUCUUAUAUCUAUAUAUCGGCUAUGGAGCAGAUUUUAGCCUUCGACCUUAUCUCUCUGAGGUAGCAAGAGAGCAGGUUGAAGAUACGAGCCUUGACCCCCCUAAGCAGUAGGUAACAGGCUGCAAAUUACAGAUCUUAUCUCCAUGCAUCGGCUAUGGAGCAGAUUUUAGCCAUCGACCUUAUCUCUCUAAGGUAGCAAGAGAGCAGAUUGAAGAUACGAGCCUUAACCCUCUAAGUAGUAGGGUAACAGGCUGCAAAUUACAGAUCUUAUCUCCAUGUAUCAGCUACGGAGCAGAUCGAAAAUGGUGAGUCUUAUCUCUAUGAAUCGACUAUAGAGUAGAUUUAGUCACCGACCUUAUGUCUCUGAGGUAGCAAGAGAGCAGUUUGAAGAUAUGAGCCUUAACCCCCUAAGCAGUAGAGUGACAGGCUGAAAAUUGCAAAUUUUAUCUUCCAAAAGUCGUAAUGAAGUAGGUUGAGGACGCGGAGUGGAUUGAAAGCACAAUUCUUAUAUCCCUGAAGAUGCAGUGGGUUGGAGCGGGGCUACUUGAAAAAGAUGAGCAUAAAGAGGUCGAGAUAUGAGAAGAACGGGCAAAAUGACCCUUUUAGGGUCUUUGCUCCAUUCUCGUUACAUGACAAUGAGCAAAGAGGGGCAGCUGUAGACGGCCCAUUUCGCCCGGGGCCCAGAACACUACCAAAACCAAAAUAAAAGCAGACCAAAUAAAAAAAAAACAAAGUCCAAAUUACAUACCCAACCCAAAAACUAAAAUAAAACCCAAUUUAAUCAACCAAAACCAACCCAAACCCUCAAACCCAAUUACAAUAGGCCCAAACCUGAAACUCAAUCCAAACACCUAGCUCUAGCCCAAAAUUUCAGCCUAAAACUUUAACAUUUUUGAAAAACCCUA
rnacentral:lncRNA from 1 species